UUGGUGUUCAGCUGCUCCUUUUCAUCUGCCGUAUCCCUUUUAUUGCGAUGUCAUAUGAUGGUGAAGAUAGCCUCUUUUGUUUCAAACUGAAAGUUAUGCUCUAUUUCUAUUUUGGGCACAUUAACAGUUGAAUCUAAAACUGCACUUUGAUGUAAAAUCAGACGGAUUACAAUACGUUGAUACUUCAGCAAUGACUCUAGCUGUUGGAAAAAACAAACUUGGCCUGCACAAGAUGCAUGUUUCAGCCUGCUAUGCUUCAACUACUCCACUUAAGGAAAGUUGUCUGGUCUGACCUGUGACAAAACCCUAAUAUCAAACGGGAACAGCUGCAGCACGAGGGGACUGAGGAAGACCUGCCCUGGGAACUACCUUCCAGUAAUUCCAACAUGGCCAUCUAUUCAGUGCGAAUAUACACCAUCCGACCCGGCCAUUUCGAGGGCCCUCCCAUCGUCUUCGGACCCAUGACCGGGAGACCACCCUUCCUGCAAGAAGUCUACAUCAUCCCAGCCGGACCCACCCUUCCUGAUAGCUAACUAUUCAAUCCAUGCUCAGAGCUUGGAAGUAACUAGUUACAAGUAAUGAAUUACUUGUAAUUUAUUACUUUUUUGAGUAACAAGUGGGUAACUUCAUUACAUUUUGCUGGUAAUAGAAUGAGUAGUAACUUCAUUACUUUGGAGGAGUAAUGGUAAUGUUUCCAGCAUUACUUUUGCGCAUUACUUGGGGGGGGAGCAGGGGAAGUCUUCUGCUCCUCUGAUUUGUGAAUAAAAACCAUGUGCUUCAAA